rnacentral:rRNA from 1 species
CAAUAGCGUAUAUUAAAGUUGUUGCAGUUAAAAAGCUCGUAGUUGGAUUUCGGAAUGGGCCAGUUGGUCCGCCGCAAGGUGUGUUACUGACUGGUCUGUUCUUCUUCGCAAAGACUGCGUGUGCUCUUCACUGAGUGUGCGUAGGAUUUACGACGUUUACUUUGAAAAAUUAGAGUGUUCAAAGCAGGCUAUCGCUUGAAUACAUGAGCAUGGAAUAAUGGAAUAGGACUUUCGGUUCUAUUUUGUUGGUUUUCUAGGACCGAAGUAAUGAUUAAGAGGGACAAUUGGGGGCAUCCGUAUUUCGUUGUCAGAGGUGAAAUUCUUGGAUUUACGAAAGACGUAACAAACUGCGAAAGCACUUGCCAAGAGUGUUUUCAUUAAUCAAGAACGAAAGUUAGA